UGACGCGGGAGUAUUAGACACUCCCCGAAAAAACACCAAUCACUUACAACACGAUGGAAAACAAAACCUAAAAUAGUUAGAGCUGGCGGAGGUUGUUAGACGCAAUGUGUGGCCGGGUUGCGGGGGCAGCAGUCUUAGGAGUUAAACCCCAGACCUCCCUCUCCCCAGACACUUCCUUCAGCUCCUCCAGGGGGAUCCAGAGGCGUUCCUAGGACAGCCGAGAGACUUAAUCCCUCCAACAUGUCCUGGGUCUUCCUCAAGGCCUCCUCCUGGUGGGACAUGCCUGAAACACCACCCUAAGUAGGCGUCCAGGAGGCAUCCGAAACAGAUGCCCGAGCCACCUCAGCUGACUUCUCUCAAUGUGGAGGAGCAGAGGCUCUACUCGGAGCUCCUCCUGGGUGACAGAGCUCCUUAUCCUAUCUAUAAGAGUGCACCCUGUUAGCCUGCGAAGGAAACUAAUUUCGGCCGCUUGUAUCCGAGAUCUUGUCCUUUUACCCAAAGCGCAUGACCAUAGGUGAGAGUAGGAACGUAGAUUGACCAGUAAUUCGAGAGUUUUCCUUUCGGCUCAGCUCCUUCUUUAACACAACAGACAGAUACACCAACAGCAUUACUGCUGCACCGAUCCACCAGUCAAUCUCACAUUCCAUCCUUCCCUCACUCAUGAACAAAACCCCAUGAGACUUGAACUCCUCCACCUGGGGUAAGGACUUUCCUCCAACCCAGAGAUGUCAAACCACCUUUAUCCAGUGGAGCACCAUGGCCUCGGACUUGGAGUUGCUGAUUCUCAUCCCAGAUUCUCAUCCUUAACAGAGAUUAUAAAAAACAGUCAAAAUAUUCUCAACGAUUUGGUAGAGCAGGCAGUUAAAGGGAUAGUUCGCCUAAAACUAAAAAUUCUUUCAUAAUUUACUCAACCUUCACUUAUUGUCACAAAUCUGUUUGAGCUUCUUUUUUAUGUUCAUCACAAAAGAAGAUAUUUAUAGAAAUGUUAGUAACUUAUAAUAACUAUUGACAUCUGUAGCAUUUGUUUUGUUAAAGAGUGUCAACUGUUACAGGUUACUAACAUGUUUUAAAAUAUCUUUUGUGUUUAACACAAAAAGAAAACGCAUGAAAGUUUAAAACCACUUGAGGGUGAGUAAAUGUUCAUAAUUGGGAAAAAUAUCAUUUUCUCUCGAUUUUCAUUCAUACGCAGAGCUCCUUCAUUAAACAUAUACAUGAUUUGACUACUUUAUUUUAAUGCUUAAGUGUCACAAAUCCAUGUGCUGAAAUACAAACAGAACAUACACAAUAUUAAGUUUUUCAGUAAUAUUUUGCCUUAAAAACACACAUUAAUUUACUUUAGCUGUAUAACUAUUUAAAGGAAAAAGUAAAAUGGUUUUUAACUCAUGAACUGUCUGCGCUGCCAAACGUUUGACUAUAUUUUGACUGUUUUAAAUAAUAGCUAUUAAAGUCUUUUAAAGAAUGACAAUUUUAAAUAAUGCUCAGCAUUGUUGGUUUACAGAAUAAUCAAGCAAACAUAAUCCUGUAGCACUACUUCCCUUGAUUUUGGUUUUAUUGAAAAAAAAAAAAACAUGUUAAAUGAGAAUCGGAAAUUUUUUAUGACAUACUUAAAAAAAAUAAAGAUGAUUUAGAAUUCAAAUAUGUUUUAUUUUGAUUGUUUUUAUAUAAAUUGGUUGAACACUUUACAUUUUGAUUUUUCAUAGUAAAUUUAUUUAGCUACUUUUACCAUGAACUGACAUAUCAACUGUUUGGUAGAGGUUGAUAUUGGAUGUGUUGAAUAAAAAAUGCAUUGAG